ACUCCUACGGGAGGCAGCAGUCGAGAAUCAUUGACAAUGCACGAAAGUGUGAUCAUGCGACGCCGCGUGGAGGAAGACGGCCCUUGGGUUGUAAACUCCUGUCAGCAGGGAGUAAGGGUAGCAUUACUAAUAUUAAUGUUAUUUGAUAGUACCUGCAGAGGAAGUCACGGCUAACUCUGUGCCAGCAGCCGCGGUAAUACAGAGGUGGCGAACGUUGUUCGGAUUUACUGGGCGUAAAGGGUCCGCAGGCGGCUCGGUGUGUCAGAUGUGAAAGCCCACGGCUUAACUGUGGAAUUGCAUUUGAAACUGCCGGGCUAGAGUACUGGAGGGGAGAAGGGAACACUUGGUGUAGCGGUGAAAUGCGUAGAUAUCAAGUGGAACACCGGAGGCGAAGGCGCUCCUCUGGACAGAUACUGACGCUCAUGGACGAAAGCUUGGGUAGCGAAAGGGAUUAGAUACCCCUGUAGUCCAAGCCGUAAACGGUGUGCACUAGACGUGGGUGGAUUUACCCCCAUCCGUGUCUGAGCUAACGCAUUAAGUGCACCGCCUGGGGAGUACGGUCGCAAGAUUAAAACUCAAAGGAAUUAACGGGGACCCGCACAAGCGGUGGAGCAUGUGGCUUAAUUCGAUGCAACGCGAAGAACCUUACCUGGACCUGACAUAUAGCUGCAUAUGACUCGAAAGAGACAUAGCCUUCGAGGGUGCUAUACAGGUGCUGCAUGGCUGUCGUCAGCUCGUGCCGUGANGUGUUGGGUUAANUCCCGCAACNANCGCACUCUUGU
rnacentral:rRNA from 1 species